CUUCGCUUUAUAGUAGCGGAAGUAAUAAUUCCAUUAAUUUUAACUUGUAUUUAUUAGAUAUAUUUUAAACGACAUGAAUAAACCACCAAAAACAUCAACUAGUUUUGUAUCACGCAAAUUUGUAUUUAUCGCUAUGGUACCAACCAUAAUUGCUUUGCAUUUCGGUUUCAGUAUUUUUGGUAACAUGCAAAAGAAUGUUAAGGAGCUUGAAGAGGGUGAUUUGCCAUUUUACAAGUAUGAGACAAAGUUCGACGUAAACCAGGAGUCCAGUAAGGUUUCAACUGCUAAGUCCGGAAAUCCUUAGAUUUUAAGUAGUCCCUAUGUUAAUGUUUGUAAAUAAUUCAUGUAUUACCAUUUUGUAUUUAUAUUUGUGAACUAAAAUAUCGUCUUUUAAACUGAAAUAUUCGAAAUUUAGUUAUUAAUUCAUGAAAUUAUAUGAUGACUUUCAGUACAUAAUAAAUCUCAUUGUGGCCUUGAUAGUAGAUAUAUUUUAAAAAGUAUAUACAUGCAUAUUUUGCUUAUUAUUAAAUAAAUUUUGUAUGAAAAUAAUAAAAAUAAACUACACUACAAAGAGAGAACUAAGAA